rnacentral:rRNA from 1 species
UACGGGGGGUGCGAGCGUUGUCCGGAAUCACUGGGCGUAAAGGGCGCGUAGGUGGUUUGAUAAGGGUGUGGUGAAAGUCCGGGGCUCAACCCCGGAUCUGCCGUGCCAACUGUCAAACUCGAGGGCUGUAGAGGCAGACGGAAUUCCGGGUGUAGCGGUGGAAUGCGUAGAGAUCCGGAGGAAGACCGGUGGCGAAGGCGGUCUGCUGGGCAGUUUCCGACACUGAGGCGCGACAGCGUGGGGAGCAAACAGG